rnacentral:rRNA from 1 species
GUACCGUGAGGGAAAGGUGAAAAGAACCCCGGGAGGGGAGUGAAAAGAACAUGAAACCAUAAACUUACAAGCAGCAGGAGGACGACUAAAACGUCUGACUGCGUUCCUGUUGAAGAAUGAGCCGGCGACUUAUAGUUAGUGGCAGGUUAAAGUAGUGAAUACUGAAGCCAUAGUGAAAGCGAGCCUGAAUAGGGCGCAUAUAUGUCACUAAUUAUAGACCCGAACCUGGAUGAUCUAACCAUGGCCAGGUUGAAACUUAGGUAAUACUAAUUGGAGGACCGAACCGACUGAUGUUGAAAAAUCAGCGGAUGAGUUGUGGUUAGGGGUGAAAUGCCAAUCGAAUUCAGAGCUAGCUGGUUCUCCCCGAAAUGCGUUUAGGCGCAGCGGUAAGUAUUAUAAUUUAGGGGUAAAGCACUGUUACGUAUGCGGGCUGGUAAUUCGGUACCAAAUCGUUGCAAACUAAGAAUACUAAAUGAACAAUUUACCAGUAAGACUGUGGGGGAUAAGCUCCAUUGUCAAGAGGGAAACAGCCCAGAGCACCAGUUAAGGCCCCAAAAUAAUUACUAAGUGGUAAAGGAGGUGGGAGUGCAUAGACAAUCAGGAAGUUUGCUUAGAAGCAGCAAUCUUUUAAAGAGUGCGUAAUAGCUCACUGAUCGAGUAAGCCUGCGCCGAAAAUGAAUGGGACUAAGUAAUUUGCCGAAACUGUGCGAUAUAUUUUGUUAUAUCGGUAGGGGAGCGUUCUGUUGUAGGUAGAAGUAUUAGCGGAAGCGGGUAUGGACGAAGCAGAAGUGAGAAUGUCGGCUUGAGUAACGAAAAUAUAGGUGAGAAUCCUAUACCCCGAAAACCCAAGGUUUCCUCCGGAAGGCUCGUCCGCGGAGGGUAAGUCAGGGCCUAAGGCGAGGCUGAAAAGCGUAGUCGAUGGAUAACGGGUUAAUAUUCCCGUACCGUUUUUUAUUGAUAUCGAGGGACGGAGAAGGCUAAGCUAACCAGAUAUUGGUUACUGGUUUAAACGUUCAAGAUGUUGAGAAGUGGAGAAAACACUUUGAGUUGAGACGUGAUGACGAAACGCUAAGGCGUUGAAGUAGUGUAUGUCAAACUUCCAAGAAAAGCUCGGAAUAUUAUAAAUAAAAAAUGCCUGUACCAUAACCGACACAGGUGGGUAGGUAGAGAAUACUAAGGGGCGCGAGAUAACUCUCUCUAAGGAACUCGGCAAAAUAACUCCGUAACUUCGGGAGAAGGAGUGCCUUAUUUAUAAGGUUGCAAUAACAAGAUCCAAGCAACUGUUUAUCAAAAACACAGGUCUCCGCUAAGUUGUAAGACGAUGUAUGGGGGCUGACGCCUGCCCAGUGCCAGAAGGUUAAAGAAGUUGGUUAGUGUAUGCGAAGCUGAUAACUGAAGCCCUGGUGAACGGCGGCCGUAACUAUAACGGUCCUAAGGUAGCGAAAU